rnacentral:rRNA from 1 species
UACGAAGGGGGCUAGCGUUGCUCGGAAUUACUGGGCGUAAAGGGCGCGUAGGCGGCUUGUCAAGUCAGGGGUGAAAUCUUUCGGCUCAACCGGAAAAGUGCCUUUGAUACUGACAGGCUAGAGGGAGGUAGGGGUAUGUGGAACUUCUGGUGGAGCGGUGAAAUGCGUUGAUAUCAGAAGGAACGCCGGUGGCGAAAGCGACGUACUGGACCUCUUCUGACGCUGAGGCGCGAAAGCUAGGGGAGCAAACGGG